CAGCCGCGCGGGAAUACGUAGGUGGCAAGCGUUGUCCGGAAUUAUUGGGCGUAAAGGGCUCGCAGGCGGUUUCUUAAGUCUGAUGUGAAAGCCCCCGGCUCAACCGGGGAGGGUCAUUGGAAACUGGGAAACUUGAGUGCAGAAGAGGAGAGUGGAAUUCCACGUGUAGCGGUGAAAUGCGUAGAGAUGUGGAGGAACACCAGUGGCGAAGGCGACUCUCUGGUCUGUAACUGACGCUGAGGCUCGAAAGCGUGGGUAGCGAACAGGAUUAGAUACCCCGGUAGUCCCUGUCUCUUAUACA
rnacentral:rRNA from 1 species